rnacentral:rRNA from 1 species
CAUCGAUGAAGAACGCAGCGAAAUGCGAUACUUGGUGUGAAUUGCAGAAUCCCGUGAACCAUCGAGUCUUUGAACGCAAGUUGCGCCCGAGGCCCUUGGGUCGAGGGCACGCCUGCCUGGGCGUCACGC